UAUAUACUAAAGCACAAGUCACCUUGCCAAUAAAAUUAUCACACAUGAAAUAUAUUUAAAAAUUUAAAGAAAAAUGCAACAAAAAGAAAAGAAAAACGUAAAUGCUUAAAAGAAAAAACAGUUUUCUUUAGUAACUGAUUUCUAUUUAUUUAUUUUCUAUGUAAAAUAAAAAUGCAACUAUUUCUCACACUACUACUACACCCAUGAUCCCACUAUCUUUGAAAAUAUAUUUUUUUCUCAAGAUAAAAUUUACUCAUGAUGCUCUGUGUCUAAAUUCAUUUCUUCUUGCAAUAAGAACUUUUAAAUUUUUAAAAUCUCUGCAACAGCUCCG
rnacentral:lncRNA from 1 species